rnacentral:tRNA from 1 species
GAGGGCAUAGCUCAAGUGGUAGGGUGCAUGCUUAGCAUGCAGGAGGUUCCUGGGUUCAACCCCCAGUAUCUCCU